rnacentral:rRNA from 1 species
GACGAACGCUGGCGGCGUGCUUAACACAUGCAAGUCGAACGAAGAGCGACGGAAGCUUGCUUCUAUCAAUCUUAGUGGCGCACGGGUGAGUAACGCGUAAUCAACCUGCCCUUCAGAGGGGGACAACAGUUGGAAACGACUUCUAAUACCGCAUACGAUCUAACAUCGGCAUCGAGGAUAGAUGAAAGGUGGCCUCUACAUGUAAGCUACCACUGAAGGAGGGGAUUGCGUCUGAUUAGCUAGUUGGAGGGGUAACGGCCCACCAAGGCGAUGAUCAGUAGCCGGUCUGAGAGGAUGAACGGCCACAGUGGGACGGAGACACGGCCCAGACUCCUACGGGAAGCAGCAGUGGGGAAUCUUCCGCAAUGGACGAAAGUCUGACGGAGCAACGCCGCGUGAGUGAUGACGGCCUUCGGGUUGUAAAGCUCUGUUAAUCGGGACGAAAGGCCUUCUUGCGAAUAGUGAGAAGGAUUGACGGUACCGGAAUAGAAAGCCACGGCUAACUACGUG